rnacentral:rRNA from 1 species
CUUAAAUUGAAGAGUUUGAUCAUGGCUCAGAUUGAACGCUGGCGGCAGGCCUAACACAUGCAAGUCGAACGGUAGCACAGAGAGCUUGCUCUCGGGUGACGAGUGGCGGACGGGUGAGUAAUGUCUGGGAAACUGCCCGAUGGAGGGGGAUAACUACUGGAAACGGUAGCUAAUACCGCAUAACGUCGCAAGACCAAAGUGGGGGACCUUCGGGCCUCACACCAUCGGAUGUGCCCAGAUGGGAUUAGCUAGUAGGUGGGGUAACGGCUCACCUAGGCGACGAUCCCUAGCUGGUCUGAGAGGAUGACCAGCCACACUGGAACUGAGACACGGUCCAGACUCCUACGGGAG